rnacentral:rRNA from 1 species
CACGUAGGGGGCAAGCGUUGUCCGGAUUUAUUGGGCGUAAAGAGCUCGUAGGCGGUUCGGUAAGUCGGGUGUGAAACCUCCAGGCUCAACCUGGAGACGCCACCCGAUACUGCUGUGACUAGAGUCCGGUAGGGGAGCGUGGAAUUCCUGGUGUAGCGGUGAAAUGCGCAGAUAUCAGGAGGAACACCUAAGGCGAAGGCAGCUCGCUGGAACGGUACUGACGCUGAGGCGCGAAAGCGUGGGGAGCAAACAGG